rnacentral:lncRNA from 1 species
CAUGAUUUCUACAAAGUCUUGAUCCUGGAAUGGAGCACACAGCCCCUUCUCCCCAGGCCAUGAUACUGCUGGUGGUGCAGAACGGAGUUUAGACAAGGAGGUGCAUGGCCGAGAGCAAUCUGGAAACGAUCAGAGAGGCCAGUUGCGUAAUGAUGGAGAAGCCGCUGUUUUGCAGCCACGAAAAUCAUGCCUGGAGAGAGAAUGUUCCGGGAUGUGAAAUUAUUCACAAUCUAUUGUUCAAAGAAGACAGUUGAUUAUGGGACGGAAGAGCUCCAGGAGAAGAGAGCUAAGCCAGCCCUUGGGAUGACUACAAGAGGACCGGGG